AAAAGAACCCCGGCGAGGGGAGUGAAAAAGAACCUGAAACCGUGUACGUACAAGCAGUGGGAGCCUCUUUUAUGGGGUGACUGCGUACCUUUUGUAUAAUGGGUCAGCGACUUAUAUUCUGUAGCAAGGUUAACCGAAUAGGGGAGCCGAAGGGAAACCGAGUCUUAACCGGGCGUUAAGUUGCAGGGUAUAGACCCGAAACCCGGUGAUCUAGCCAUGGGCAGGUUGAAGGUUGGGUAACACUAACUGGAGGACCGAACCGACUAAUGUUGAAAAAUUAGCGGAUGACUUGUGGCUGGGGGUGAAAGGCCAAUCAAACCGGGAGAUAGCUGGUUCUCCCCGAAAGCUAUUUAGGUAGCGCCUCGUGAAUUCAUCUCCGGGGGUAGAGCACUGUUUCGGCAAGGGGGUCAUCCCGACUUACCAACCCGAUGCAAACUGCGAAUACCGGAGAAUGUUAUCACGGGAGACACACGGCGGGUGCUAACGUCCGUCGUGAAGAGGGAAACAACCCAGACCGCCAGCUAAGGUCCCAAAGUCAUGGUUAAGUGGGAAACGAUGUGGGAAGGCCCAGACAGCCAGGAUGUUGGCUUAGAAGCAGCCAUCAUUUAAAGAAAGCGUAAUAGCUCACUGGUCGAGUCGGCCUGCGCGGAAGAUGUAACGGGGCUAAACCAUGCACCGAAGCUGCGGCAGCGACACUGUGUGUUGUUGGGUAGGGGAGCGU
rnacentral:rRNA from 1 species